rnacentral:misc_RNA from 1 species
AGAGGCUGUGCUGAAAAAGCCAGACUUAACCACAGCGCGCAUGCAUCAUACAACGACCCUUCCAAGAACCGAACCCGGCAUAACCGGAAACCAAGCUCACAAGCGUCGCCUCGGUCGGCCACGCACACGCUCCAUCUGCAGACCUCAUCAUGCCAAACAGCUCCACAGCCUCGGCCAGGCGCCCCGCUCGCGCAUACCCACCAAUAACGGCGUCCCACGCCACGCCGUCCCGGUGCGGCAUUCCGUCCAACACCCUGCACGCGGCGCCCAUGUCCCCGGCCUCGGCAUGCCUCCCGAUGAGCGCAGUGGCCACCAGGAGGUCGGAAGCAGCGAUCCCACAGGCCGCGGCGACCUAGGCCGAGGUCCGGGGGGCGCGCGCGCAGACCGUGGCGGCGAGGUGGUACGUGUACGGGUCGGGCGCGCAGGAGCCGGACGCGAGCAUGGCGCGGAGGAGCGCGGCGGCCUCGCGCGGGAGGCCCAGGGAGAGGUAGCCACGGAGCAUGGCGUUGUGGAGGAGCGGCGUCGCGUAUUGGGAGGCGGAGGCAGCGUCGAUGACCCCGCGCGCGGCAUCGGUUUCGCCGAGGCGGGCGACGAGGAGGGAAGCGAGACCAAUUCUCAAUGCUGACCGGGAUGAUCAGCUGGGUUCAGCUGAUGGAUGAAAAGAACAACCAUCCAAGGGAGCAUGAAGCGGCGAGUGCCCGCCUCUAUUUUUGAGAAAUGUGUAUGUAUCAGCAGAUUGACAACGCAACAAGAGCGAAGCCACCCACAAGAGGUUCAUGGUACUACUUGGUUCUCAGGUUUUUUUCUCAGACUGCUUGCUCCUUCGUCAUUCCUAGGCAGCCUUGUCGAUGAGCUCCCUGUGGAUGUGGGGGAUGACGCCGCCGCCGGCGAUGGUGGCCUUGAUCAGGGUGUCCAGCUCCUCGUCCCCGCGUACCGCCAGCUGGAGGUGCCGCGGGGUGAUGCGCUUCACCUUGAGGUCCCUGCACGCGUUCCCGGCCAGCUCCAUGAUCUCCGCCGUCAGGUACUCCAGGACGGCCGCCGCGUACACGGCCGCCGUCGCCCCCACCCGCUCGCCGGCCUGUGCGCUAUCCUUCAGGUGGCGGUGGAUGCGUCCCACAGGGAACUGCAUGGAAUUCAUUCACAAUAUCAGCACGAUUAUGAUCAGCUUAAUUCACAUGACAAACAACAGACAUGGAUUUUAUAUUUGGA